UUUACAUUCAAGUAAGUCAUGUGAUCACUCAAGUCAUGUGAUCUCAAGUCAUGAUCUUAUGAUUGGACCAGUAGGUUUUACACUACAGAAAGUCAUGUGACCUUUGUAGUUGUACCAGUAGGUUUUACACUACAGAAAGUCAUGUGACCUUUGUAGUCGUACCAGUAGGUUUUACACUGCAGUAAGUCAUGUGAUCUCCAGUCAUGUUUAUGCUGUUGCAAUCACUAGUGAUGUAUGUAUAUAUAAUGCAAUGUUUUAAGUGAUCUCAGUUUUAUGUACUUAGACAAUAUGUGUAUAAAUGUGUUAGUUCCAUAUUAUUCAUAUUGGAGUUAUAUUAAUUAGUUGGUAGUUGAAUUUCAUGAGAAAAUGGCUGUUCAUUCUUAAAAUUUCAGACAAAUAUCUGAAUUAAUAUUUAAUCACUUUGUCAGAGCUUGUUACAUGUCUAUUAAUUAAAUGUACCUUUGAGUUUUAUUUUUAUGCUACUAUUUUUAAGUCUGUAACUAAAGCAAAAUCGACUACAAGGCUUCAUACAGUAACUACAUGUAGCUGAUAUACUGGAGCACAAAUCAAGAAAGUUAGUGGCUAUAUGAUAUUUUUAUUAUCUUUGAUUUUAUUUUAAAUGUUUAUCAAUAAUAUAAUAUUUGUACAUUUAAAUGGCAAAUACUUUGAAAAAUGGCAAUUUAUAUAAAAGCAGAUUUUGAAAUAUAUUUGUAUGGCAAGUAAAAAGAUUCAUGUAUAUAACUCAAAAACCGCACAGGGAUGAUUAUGGACCCAGAUCUUUGGAAGAAGCAUUUGCUUCAUAAAGAAGACUUUGUAAUUUUAUAUUUUACAUUGUUUUACUAGAUUGACGUUAUCAUAUGUUUGUAUAAGACAGUGGUAUGCGUGAGUGACAGUUGGAAUAUAUCCUUUGUAGCUGAUAUUUACUACAUUUAGAUUAUUAGAUACCUGUUUUCACUGAGAUAUGGUUUAGGUAUAUCAUCAUUCACUCUGGUAUUUUACCUUUUCAAUGUAUUUAUUAAUAGAUUAAGUAUGUUGGUCGAGACAUUUUCUGUUCAAAGAUAUACUGGUACCUAUAUUUGGAAAAACUAGGGAAAAAAACGGAAGUGUUUGUACAUCGUACUCGUGGAAUUCAAUGUUAAAAAAAUUCAUGUAUCACAUUUAAUUUUUUUUAUUUUAGAAAUGUAUACACUUGUAGAUUUAGGGAUAUCUGUCUUCUUUUCUAUUAAGGCAACAAUAAUUUACUACCUUAAAAUUUCUAAAAUCAUCAGAUGAAAAUCGAGAAUAUUUGGUACUUAGCAAGCAGAUGUACAUGACCAUAAUUUGACAUACAGUAUUCGUGUGUAUCAUAUACAUCACUUCAAUAAAGUAUUAGGUUGCCAAUAGGGGCCUAACUAGAAUACAGUUUUUAGUGUUAGGUAACAAUAGGUAACAAACAUGUCAUUGUUUAGUUAACACAUACAAUUUAUGUCAUUGUUUAAAACUGUCACAAACAUGUCAUUGCUUAGGUAACACAUAUGUCAUUGUUUAAAACUGUCAUUGUUAAAUAUGUUCUGUUGAAGACCUUUAUUGAGAAUUACUAAUUGAAUGAAAGCUUUUGGGAAGAUGAAGCAAUGAUAUUGAAAUGUUGAAUUAUCUGUGAUGAAGAUAUGACACAUAUUCCAUUGAAAAAUUGCAGAAUUUGAACAUUUCAGUAUAUUUUGAAGGAAAGAAUUAAAUCAGCAUUGAAUGAAAACUAUUCAUUCUUUCAGCUCCUUUGAUCUGAAUGAGGUACUCAUUUACACUUUCUUAUACAGAUGUAACUGCUGUAGAUAUGAUUGAUUAUUGACAAUAUUGAUUUUAGUAGUUAACCCAAAUCAUUAGUACAUACAUAUUCAAAGCCAUGUAAGGUCUGGUAUUGAACAGAAUGUUUUAAAAUGUUUAACCCUUUAAAUAAAGAUUUUUUCCCUGAUCAAUAUCAUUUCAUUUUAUAAUAAAUAUGUUGGUGUAUGUUUUUUGCAGAAACAGACUACUUGGAACAUAUCAAUUUCCCAGCUAUUUAGAUAAUCUGUAAAAUAGAUUCACAAGAUUUAAAUAAAACAAUUCUGCUCUUCA